GACGAACGCUGGCGGCGUGCCUAAUACAUGCAAGUCGAGCGGAUUGAUGGGAGCUUGCUCCCUGAUAUUAGCGGCGGACGGGUGAGUAACACGUGGGCAACCUGCCCUGCAGAUGGGGAUAACUCCGGGAAACCGGGGCUAAUACCGAAUAAUCGGUUCUUCCGCAUGGAAGAACUCUGAAAGACGGUUUCGGCUGUCACUGCAGGAUGGGCCCGCGGCGCAUUAGCUAGUUGGUGGGGUAAUGGCCUACCAAGGCGACGAUGCGUAGCCGACCUGAGAGGGUGAUCGGCCACACUGGGACUGAGACACGGCCCAGACUCCUACGGGAGGCAGCAGUAGGGAAUCUUCCACAAUGGACGAAAGUCUGAUGGAGCAACGCCGCGUGAGCGAAGAAGGUUUUCGGAUCGUAAAGCUCUGUUGCGAGGGAAGAACAAGUACGGGAGUAACUGCCCGUACCUUGACGGUACCUCGUUAGAAAGCCACGGCUAACUACGUGCCAGCCGCCGCCGUAACAC
rnacentral:rRNA from 1 species